UACGAAGGGGGCUAGCGUUGUUCGGAAUUACUGGGCGUAAAGCGUGCGCAGGCGGCUUCUCAAGUCAGGGGUGAAAGCCCAGAGCUCAACUCUGGAAUUGCCUUUGAGACUGAGUGGCUUGAGUACGAGAGAGGUGAGUGGAAUUCCCAGUGUAGAGGUGAAAUUCGUAGAUAUUGGGAAGAACACCGGUGGCGAAGGCGGCCAUCUGGACGACAAUUGACGCUGAGACGCGAAAGCGUGGGUAGCAAACAGG
rnacentral:rRNA from 1 species